UACGUAGGGUGCGAGCGUUAAUCGGAAUUACUGGGCGUAAAGGGUGCGCAGGCGGUCCUGCAAGUCAGGCGUGAAAUCCCCGGGCUUAACCUGGGAAUGGCACUUGAAACUACGGGACUGGAGUAUGGCAGAGGGAGGUGGAAUUUCCGGUGUAGCGGUGAAAUGCGUAGAUAUCGGAAGGAACAUCAGUGGCGAAAGCGACUUCCUGGACCAAUACUGACGCUCAUGUGCGAAAGCGUGGGGAGCAAACAGG
rnacentral:rRNA from 1 species